rnacentral:piRNA from 1 species
UCUCAUUGCUAUCAAAAAUCGUUGGGU